CAAGCUCCUUAUAAAUAACAACCCUCUUCUCAUCUCCAUCUUCAAUCUUCAAUUCCUCUCACAAAGAAAUUGAGGUUCCUCAAGUGGUUGCCAUGAUGGGAAGGUUUAGUUGGUGUAUCGUCUUCACCAUGUUGGUCUUUCUUGCAUCAGAGGAGAUGAGGGUGCAUGUUGAAGCAAGGGUGUGUGAAACUCUGAGCGAACAGUUCAAGGG